rnacentral:lncRNA from 1 species
AAAAAAAGAAAGAGAGAAAGAAAAGAAAAGAGAAAGAGAAAGAAGGACUUCAGAGAAUCGUUCCGAGAAUUUUCUGGGAAAAUAUGCAACAGCAGGUCAUAAAACAGAUCUCACAGAGAUAUGUGAGAUCAAUAGAUAAUGUGCUUUGGGCCACACAAAACUUUACAAAAAUGUAUCUUAAAAUUUAAAAUAGGAAAAUAUUAUGUCAGAAUUCAAAUAGUGACUGAGGAAUAGAUAAAUGUGUCUAUCUACACAAUGGAAUAUUUUUCAGCCAUAAAAGGGAAUGAAUACAUGCUACAACAUGGGUGAACCUUGAAACAUGCUAAGUGAAAGAAGCCAGUCACAAAAGGAUAAAUAUGUAUAAGUCCCUUUGCGGGAGAGAUCUAAAACUAGGUGAAUCCAUAAAGACAGACAUCAGAUUGGUGGUUGCCAGGGGGCAAGGGGGAGGGGAGAACAGGAGUGACUGCUAACGGAUGUGGGGUUUCCUUUUGGAGUGAUAGGAAAGUUCUGGAAUGAGAUAGUAGUGAUGGCUGCAGAACAAUGUGAAUGUACUUAAUGACACUGAAUUGUACACUUUUAAAUGGUUACGAUGGUCAAUUUUAUGUGUAUUUGAUCAUAAUAAAAAGAAAUCUAGGCUGGG